rnacentral:lncRNA from 1 species
UGUGUGUAUGGAGUUGUGCUCUAUCACAGGUAUUUUGAGUCAAAAGAUGCCUUUGCUGAAAGUCCAAAAAAAAGCAACUGAAAUUUUGGUCAAAAUUAGGCAGUAUAUAUAUCUCAAGACAACUCGAGAUAGGUCAUAAAGCCUAAAACGCUCAAAUAAGGUGUUAAGAAACUAAAAUUGUAAAGCUAGAAUAUCUCAAAUAAAGCUAGUUUUGGGCCAUCCAAGACUUUAUGAUAUUAUUGUAUUGAUGAAUUAUACCACCAGAUAAUAAGUAUUAGGUUUUUUUACCACAUGGCUAGGACAUAUCAUGUGUCGCCAUGGUAAAAAUAUUUACCCAUUUAAAUGAAACUCCUAUUAAUACCAUUAUUAUCCUAACAUGUUCGUCUGGUUUUAAAUUUUUAUCUAGAUAGCUAAAUAACGUAAAACGUAUUAAAAUACGUUAUCUUCAACCACAUAAUUUUAAAAGCUGUGUUCAAAGUUAUGUGCUUCUGAGACUCCUACUUAAUAAGACGUUUUGCCACGAUAGAUAAUCGUAAUACGAGUAUACAUAGUUUGAGGCGAACGAAGAAUUAAC